rnacentral:rRNA from 1 species
AUUGAACGCUGGCGGCAGGCCUAGCACAUGCAAGUCGAGCGGAUGAAGGGAGCUUGCUCCUGGAUUCAGCGGCGGACGAGUGAGUAAUGCCUAGGAAUCUGCCUGGUAGUGGGGGAUAACGUCCGGAAACGGGCGCUAAUACCGCAUACGUCCUGAGGGAGAAAGUGGGGGAUCUUCGGACCUCACGCUAUCAGAUGAGCCUAGGUCGGAUUAGCUAGUUGGUGGGGUAAAGGCCUACCAAGGCGACGAUCCGUAACUGGUCUGAGAGGAUGAUCAGUCACACUGGAACUGAGACACGGUCCAGACUCCUACGGGAGGCAGCAGUGGGGAAUAUUGGACAAUGGGCGAAAGCCUGAUCCAGCCAUGCCGCGUGUGUGAAGAAGGUCUUCGGAUUGUAAAGCACUUUAAGUUGGGAGGAAGGGCAGUAAGUUAAUACCUUGCUGUUUUGACGUUACCAACAGAAUAAGCACCGGCUAACUUCGUG